AGUUGAAUGAGACUUAAUUGUGUUUCGUACAACGAUUUUAUUCAAGCCGGUCAAUUAGAAGUGGCAGAAAUAAAUAUCCCAUUUGAGAAACGACAAACCAAGAAAAAAAAAUAGUAGUUAAUGCACAAGCGGAGUUUUGUACCACUGAUAAACCAAACAGAUUCGCAAAAUAACGCCAUAUACAGUCAUCUCCUCCGUCUAAAUCGUUGCUGUAGUAGUUGGAGGGACCUCAACAUUUUUUUGGAAGUUGUUAUUGACCCAAUCCAAGUUUGGAAUGUGCUAUCCCUUUAUUAAGGGUGCACAACAUUUGCAUUUAAAUUCAGGAGCGUCAUUCAAUGCUGGGAUGAUAGAUGAUGUGGCUUCUUAUUACGACGAAUUGAGCGAGCCAAGUGUCUUUCCACACUUAACCCGUUGCCUUUACCAGAUCUAAUUAUCUGGUCUGCUCCAAUGCAGCCCAUAACAGCCAGAAGCUGUUACAGUUUAGACAUUCGUGAAUGAUUCAUUGUCAUAUAAAACAAGAAGCCUUACCGUUAAUAUUCUUGUAAUGAUAGUAAAUUGUUUCACCUCCCAUGGAUACCUAACAUCCAAUUUUGUCACAAGAAGACAUUGAAUGAUGAGCUGCACAGAGUGACAUCUUGUUUUAGCGACAGCAAUUAUCUACACAGAAUGAUGGCCGCCAUCGGCAACAAUGUAACAACAAUUAAAAAGGUACAAUGGCCGACAAUCACAACAAUUGAAAAUGUAUAAUGGCCGACAACAAAUGAAUAAUGGCCGACAGCAUCAAUAAUACCGCAACAAUGAAGUGAUAAAGAUGGCUGACCACUAAUAUGAAUAAAUUAUUGUCUU
rnacentral:lncRNA from 1 species